AGAAUGUUAUCACGGGAGACACACGGCGGGUGCUAACGUCCGUCGUGAAGAGGGAAACAACCCAGACCGCCAGCUAAGGUCCCAAAGUCAUGGUUAAGUGGGAAACGAUGUGGGAAGGCCCAGACAGCCAGGAUGUUGGCUUAGAAGCAGCCAUCAUUUAAAGAAAGCGUAAUAGCUCACUGGUCGAGUCGGCCUGCGCGGAAGAUGUAACGGGGCUAAACCAUGCACCGAAGGUGCGGCAGAGACAUGCUGGAGGUAUCAGAAGUGCGAAUGCUGACAUAAGUAACGAUAAAGCGGGUGAAAAGCCCGCUCGCCGGAAGACCAAGGGUUCCUGUCCAACGUUAAUCGGGGCAGGGUGAGUCGACCCCUAAGGCGAGGCCGAAAGGCGUAGUCGAUGGGAAACGGGUUAAUAUUCCCGUACUUGGUGUUACUGCGAAGGGGGGACGGAGAAGGCUAUGUUGGCCGGGCGACGGUUGUCCCGGUUUAAGCGUGUAGGUGUGUGUUCCAGGUAAAUCCGGUUCACUUUAACACUGAGGCGUGACGACGAGGCACUACGGUGCUGAAGCAACAAAUGCCCUGCUUCCAGGAAAAGCCUCUAAGCAUCAGGUAACAUCAAAUCGUACCCCAAACCGACACAGGUGGUCAGGUAGAGAAUACCAAGGCGCUUGAGAGAACUCGGGUGAAGGAACUAGGCAAAAUGGUGCCGUAACUUCGGGAGAAGGCACGCUGACACGUAGGUGAAGUGAUUUACUCACGGAGCUGAAGUCAGUCGAAGAUACCAGCUGGCUGCAACUGUUUAUUAAAAACACAGCACUGUGCAAACACGAAAGUGGACGUAUACGGUGUGACGCCUGCCCGGUGCCGGAAGGUUAAUUGAUGGGGUCAGCGCAAGCGAAGCUCCUGAUCGAAGCCCCGGUAAACGGCGGCCGUAACUAUAACGGUCCUAAGGUAGCGAAAUUCCUUGUCGGGUAAGUUCCGACCUGCACGAAUGGCGUAAUGAUGGCCAGGCUGUCUCCACCCGAGACUCAGUGAAAUUGAACUCGCUGUGAAGAUGCAGUGUACCCGCGGCAAGACGGAAAGACCCCGUGAACCUUUACUAUAGCUUGACACUGAACAUUGAGCCUUGAUGUGUAGGAUAGGUGGGAGGCUUUGAAGUGUGGACGCCAGUCUGCAUGGAGCCGACCUUGAAAUACCACCCUUUAAUGUUUGAUGUUCUAACGUGGACCCGUAAUCCGGGUUGCGGACAGUGUCUGGUGGGUAGUUUGACUGGGGCGGUCUCCUCCUAAAGAGUAACGGAGGAGCACGAAGGUUGGCUAAUCCUGGUCGGACAUCAGGAGGUUAGUGCAAUGGCAUAAGCCAGCUUGACUGCGAGCGUGACGGCGCGAGCAGGUGCGAAAGCAGGUCAUAGUGAUCCGGUGGUUCUGAAUGGAAGGGCCAUCGCUCAACGGAUAAAAGGUACUCCGGGGAUAACAGGCUGAUACCGCCCAAGAGUUCAUAUCGACGGCGGUGUUUGGCACCUCGAUGUCGGCUCAUCACAUCCUGGGGCUGAAGUAGGUCCCAAGGGUAUGGCUGUUCGCCAUUUAAAGUGGUACGCGAGCUGGGUUUAGAACGUCGUGAGACAGUUCGGUCCCUAUCUGCCGUGGGCGCUGGAGAACUGAGGGGGGCUGCUCCUAGUACGAGAGGACCGGAGUGGACGCAUCACUGGUGUUCGGGUUGUCAUGCCAAUGGCACUGCCCGGUAGCUAAAUGCGGAAGAGAUAAGUGCUGAAAGCAUCUAAGCACGAAACUUGCCCCGAGAUGAGUUCUCCCUGAGACUU
rnacentral:rRNA from 1 species